GUAUAAUUUUAGUAGCCUUUCGUAUUCUUAAACUUUUGGCUCUUUAUGCUUUAUUUCUGAUGAACUUUGUGUUAAUUUUAAUUGUUUUUGCGUUAAUAGGUACAAUGAGUAGCCUGAGCAGCCUUCGCCGUAGGUUGCACUUCUGGUCGCACGAAGCGAAUGGAGAACGAAAGCCCUGGUCCUGGACGUGAUUUGUGUAUGGAAAAGAGCAUAUUUUUUCCAGCUCUCGGAUUAGGGAAAUGAUGGUCAAAAUCGAGGUUCCAAUCAUACCAGCAAAUACCAAAAGGCUGAGCGCCUACCGGCGUAAAUUGAAACGCAACACAACAAUUUUGAUAUAAUUCGACCGCCUCGACUAAACAAUUUGUGAGAGAAAACUUAUGGAGAAUUGAGGCACCAUAUAGGGAAUUAUUCCCAUAUGAUUUCCGAGGUGGCAGGACUUCGACACAUCUCAAUUACAGACAAGAAUCAAAAUGUGGUGGAGCAUCAUCACGGGCUGUGUG